GGGUGGUAAUGCCGGAUGCUCCAGUUGGAUGCAUGUCCUUCUGGGAAAGAUUCAUCGGUAUGGGAUGGGGUCGCGUCCUAUCAGCUUGAUGGCGGGGUAACGGCCCACCAUGGCUUCGACGGGUAGCCGGCCUGAGAGGGCGACCGGCCACAUUGGGACUGAGAUACGGCCCAGACUCCUACGGGAGGCAGCAGUGGGGAAUAUUGCACAAUGGGCGCAAGCCUGAUGCAGCGACGCCGCGUGCGGGAUGACGGCCUUCGGGUUGUAAACCGCUUUUGACUGGGAGCAAGCCCUUCGGGGUGAGUGUACCUUUCGAAUAAGCACCGGCUAACUACGUGCCAGCAGCCGCGGUAAUACGUAGGGUGCAAGCGUUAUCCGGAAUUAUUGGGCGUAAAGGGCUCGUAGGCGGUUCGUCGCGUCCGGUGUGAAAGUCCAUCGCUUAACGGUGGAUCCGCGCCGGGUACGGGCGGGCUUGAGUGCGGUAGGGGAGACUGGAAUUCCCGGUGUAACGGUGGAAUGUGUAGAUAUCGGGAAAGAACACC
rnacentral:rRNA from 1 species